GAAAUGCGAUAAGUAAUGCGAAUUGCAGAAUUCAGUGAAUCAUCGAAUCUUUGAACGCACAUUGCGCCUCCCAGCACUCUGGGAGGCACGCCUGUCUGAGCGUCAUCUCAACCCUCGCACCCGGCUCGCGCUGGGGGCGGUGUUGGGGAUCGGCCGCCCCCCUUCAGUGGGUGGCCGUCCCCUAAAUUCAUUGGCGACCUCGCCGUAGCCUCCCCCGCGCAGUAGUAAAACACCUCGCGGGCGGAGGGCGGAGUGGCCCUGCCGUAAAACCCCCCAACCUCCUUCACUAGGUUGACCUCAGAUCAGGCGGGACUACCCGCUGAACUUAA
rnacentral:misc_RNA from 1 species